GUUAGCGGCGGACGGGUGAGUAACACGUGGGUAACCUACCUAUAAGACUGGGAUAACUUCGGGAAACCGGAGCUAAUACCGGAUAAUAUUUAGCUUCGCAUGAAGCAAUAGUGAAAGACGGUUCUGCUGUCACUUAUAGAUGGACCCGCGGUGUAUUAGCUAGUUGGUGAGGUAACGGCUCACCAAGGCAACGAUACAUAGCCGACCUGAGAGGGUGAUCGGCCACACUGGGACUGAGACACGGCCCAGACUCCUACGGGAGGCAGCAGUAGGGAAUCUUCCGCAAUGGACGAAAGUCUGACGGAGCAACGCCGCGUGAGUGAAGAAGGUUUUCGGAUCGUAAAACUCCUGUUGUAAGGGAAGAACAAGU
rnacentral:rRNA from 1 species